GAUGAACGCUGGCGGCGUGCCUAAUACAUGCAAGUCGAGCGAACGGACGAGAAGCUUGCUUCUCUGAUGUUAGCGGCGGACGGGUGAGUAACACGUGGAUAACCUACCUAUAAGACUGGGAUAACUUCGGGAAACCGGAGCUAAUACCGGAUAAUAUUUUGAACCGCAUGGUUCAAAAGUGAAAGACGGUCUUGCUGUCACUUAUAGAUGGAUCCGCGCUGCAUUAGCUAGUUGGUAAGGUAACGGCUUACCAAGGCAACGAUGCAUAGCCGACCUGAGAGGGUGAUCGGCCACACUGGAACUGAGACACGGUCCAGACUCCUACGGGAGGCAGCAGUAGGGAAUCUUCCGCAAAGGGCGAAAGCCUGACGGAGCAACGCCGCGUGAGUGAUGAAGGUCUUCGGAUCGUAAAACUCCGUUAUUAGGGAAGAACAUAUGUGUAAGUAACUGUGCACAUCUUGACGGUACCUAAUCAGAAAGCCACGGCUAACUACGUG
rnacentral:rRNA from 1 species